rnacentral:miRNA from 1 species
CAGAGCUGCUGCUAAUUGGU